UGUCUAAGGCAAGUUAAUGAGAUAUAGUUAUUUAAUUGGUUCCGUUAGUCGAUCUGACUAAUUUAUUGGUAUCUUAGGAAGGCAACGGGGGGAUCCCCACUGAUCUCUACUUACCUGGUCAAUUUGGAAGAUUGGGUCUUGAAUUAGGUUACUAAGCAAUCUGGUUUAGUCCAUACUAGUUAGAUCGAUCAUAUGAUGACUGAUUAGAUGAGACCUAAAUCUGAACCUUCCCACAAAUAUUAAGUCC
rnacentral:lncRNA from 1 species